AUGGUACAGUUAUGCUCACUGAUGGCUUGCCCAUGUCGCUUUUCCCGUGUGCUGUCAUGUAACAAAUUGACUUCAAAGAAUGCCUUCUAUGAAACAUUAGAAAUGAAGCAUGUUCUGUCAUCAGCUGAAAGCAUACGAUGUUCACAAGAACUGUGCUCGAUCGGAGAAUAUUUGGCUCUUGCAAGGUGUCCCCUUGUCCAGGAAGUCUUUCCCUGCAGCGCUGACAUCCAGCCUCGGUUUGACCUGAAGGUAAAGCUGGAGGGCGAGGAAAUGCCAUCCACUCGUCUUGAUGCUCAGAUGCUGAUGGUCUCUCUGCAGCCUUCCUGCGAUGCCCGAGUUUUCCUUCUGUCCUAGCAAUCUUAGCAGUGUCACCUCUGCUCGUU
rnacentral:lncRNA from 1 species